rnacentral:rRNA from 1 species
CCCGUCCUUAGUCGGGGGAGGUAACUAUUGGAAACGAUAGCUAAUACCGCAUAAAAGUACGAUAUCGCAUGAUAUUGACUUGAGAGGUGCAAUUGCAUCACUAAGAGAUGGACCUGCGUUGUAUUAGCUAGUUGGUGAGGUAACGGCUCACCAAGGCGACGAUACAUAGCCGACCUGAGAGGGUGAUCGGCCACACUGGGACUGAGACACGGCCCAG